ACCUCAAGAAGUCACGAAUAGGAGGAGCCGCUAUUGCAGCAGACUUGAAACUGAAGAGGAAACUCCAUUUGCGCUAAUACAAUCGAUAAUUCCCUUCUAGCAUAAAGUUCAUGUAGGGAAUACAAUACUUUGAGACUUGCAAGAUUUCGAAAAUGUGUGAAAAAAAAUAAGGUCAAAAAGUCACUUCAUUUAUAAGAGGCGAAAAACAAAAGUUGUUACUAUUUACUAGUAUCAUGAUUCAAACACACCGUCUUCCGCUUCAACAUGCUGCUUCUUCGUAGUCUCUCCACAUUCAUUAUCUUCUUAGGGGCAAACGAAAUCUGUAAGUGAGAUAUAAAAAAGCUGCUCUCUUGAUUUUUGUGUAUAUCUCGGUAAUUGAGAAGGAAUUUAAGAAAAAGCCGUACACUUCAUAAACUAUCCUUCUAACGAGGGAAUGCAUUUUUGUGAUGAUCCAAGCAACCAAGCCGAGGAAGCUGAGCUUCUCGGAGAAAGUAAAGAGGGAGAUGUUACUGUAACUCUUUGGUUUUGUGUUUCUAGACUACUACUAUGAUUUCUUUUUCUAUCGAGUUGGCGAAACAACAACACGUGAUACUAAAGAGAGUCUCUUAUCUUAUGCUCUCUUUGCGUUCUUUUUUUUUUUUUUUUAAGGUGGGGGGGGGGGAUGUGAUUGCUAUCAGCUAGCAAUUCAAGAAAAAAAAGCUCUUUUCGGCCGCUUACAGGUAUAGUUUUUUUUUUUUUAUAAUAUGAGAUGGGACGAGGAGCGUUCAAGGACCGUCAAAUGGCAUUAUUCUCCAAAUUAUUCAGUUUUUUUUCAUGGGCUCAUAAAUGGGCGCAAUAAACUUCCCCACAUUCUUGUAUGUGGUGUCACGGCGUUAUGAGCCCCUGUUUUUUUUUUUUUUUACCCCUGGCUACAUGCCUACCAGGGCAAUGAUAUCCAGAGCAGUCUCCCGGGGCUUGUUAUAGAAAUAGCUAUGUAGCCUUCGUCUUUAAGACAGAAAAUUCAAAUUCAGGUUUGCUUAUGAGUGGGUUGCCUGUGUAUUUUCACUUGAGCGCGGAUUUUUACGUAUUUUCGCGCGAACUAAUUCCAGCCAAUCACAGCUCAAUAUCAGCUGUGACGUAACAAUUGCUGCUUGACACCGGCUGACACUUCUUAGUGCGACUUCCGCGCUGUCAUGCUGUUUACAAGAAUUCCCGGUUAAUUUUAUUGGAAAACAUACGAAAGUGCCAUUCAAAUAUGAAGAGAUUUGACAGGAAGAUGGUAUAUACAGAGAGGAAAUGUCUUGUAAAGAUUGAACACGUUUGGAAGGUUUUCAAGCAACGAAUUUUAAUCGAACUUGUUGGAGUACAGAUAUGAAACUGGAUAACACAUUAUCACAGGAAUUUGAGCGAGAAGUCGUCUGAGGUAAAUGGAAAAGUUGGUCGCGGAUGCCGUUUGUCGGCAAACACUUGUAAACAACAGUUUCAAGGGGUUUAAUUUCCAUCACAACAUACCACGUAUAGAUCAUCAUUUGAGCAUGCGCUAUUGACAGUCUCAGAGAUGACUUGCUUGUACGCGUGGCUUAUAACAAAGAUCAAAAUUGCUAGUAUUCCUUUGUAUUCUAAAAGAACUGAAAUACAAUUAAAAGCCGCGUGUAAGAAUGGUAGAACUUUUGCACUCUAUAAAAUAAUAUAAGAACCUGCUAAAGUUCUUAUAGGAAGAAGGGUCACUCAUGAACUAAAA